ACACUGGAAUUCAGCUUGUAGUAGUUGUAGGUAAUAUAUUAUAGAUAAGGUGGCACUCUUUUUCUAUUCUAUAUGGAGACAAUGUAAAUAAUGCAGUCAGCAAGAGUGGUCAAAUAUAGCACACUAUAAAAGUAGGGUGACGUUUGGCACGCAGCCCUGAAGUUCAGCUAGUUUUCCCUCCUGACCCUCAGUGGUUCUCUAGUCCAGCAGAUGGAGGUGCUGUCUGUUCUUACCCUCGGUGGUGUUCCAGUCCAGCAGAUGGAGGUGCUGUCUGUUCUUACCCUCGGUGGUGUUCCAGUCCAGCAGAUGGAGGUGCUGUCUGUUCUUACCCUAAGUGGUUCUCCAGUCCAGCAGAUGGAGGUGCUGUCUGUUCUUACCCUCAGUGGUUCUCCAGUCCAGCAGAUGGAGGUGCUGUCUGUUCUUACCCUCGGUGGUGUUCCAGUCCAGCAGAUGGAGGUGCUGUCUGUUCUUACCCUCGGUGGUGUUCCAGUCCAGCAGCUGGAGAAUGUUCUUGUGGUGCACCAGCUUCCUCAUAAUGGAUACCUCCAUCUCCAUACGCUUAGGGGUCACACC